AGAGUUUGAUCCCGGCUCAGGAUUAACGCUGGCGGUGUGCCUUAUCAUGCAAGUCGAACGGUCUGAUUAGUGAGCUUGCUUUCUGGUCAGAUAGUGGCGAACGGGUGAGUAAUACGUAAGUAACCUGCCCCUAAGUGGGGAAUAACCCCGGGAAACCGGAGUUAAUACCGCAUGUGGUAGUGGGGUGGAUGCUCCACUACUAAAGCCUUCGGGCGCUUGGGGAGGGGCUUGUGGCCGAUUAGCUAGUUGGUAGGGUAACGGUCUACCAAGGCGAUGAUCGGUAGCUGGUUUGAGAGGACGAUCAGCCACACUGGGACUGAGACACGGCCCAGACUCCUACGGGAGGCAGCAGCAAGGAAUAUUGCGCAAUGGGCGAAAGCCUGACGCAGCGACACCGCGUGGGGGAUGAAGGCCUUCGGGUUGUAAACCCCUUUUCUCAGGGAAGAAUAAUGACGGUACCUGAGGAAUAAGUCUCGGCUAACUACGUGCCAGCAGCCGCGGUAAUACGUAGGAGGCGAGCGUUAUCCGGAUUUACUGGGCGUAAAGAGCGCGUAGGUGGCUUUUCAAGUCGGAUGUAAAAUCUCCCGGCUCAACCGGGAUGUACCAUUCGAUACUGUUGGGCUUGAGGGCAGCAGAGGGAGAUGGAAUUCCCGGUGUAGUGGUGAAAUGCGUAGAUAUCGGGAGGAACACCAGUGGCGAAGGCGAUCUCCUGGGCUGUACCUGACACUGAGGCGCGAAAGCGUGGGGAGCGAACAGGAUUAGAUACCCUGGUAGUCCACGCCGUCAACGAUGGACACUGGGUAUGGGGAGUAUCGACCCUCUCCGUGCCGAAGCUAACGCGUUAAGUGUCCCGCCUGGGGACUACGACCGCAAGGUUAAAACUCAAUGGAAUUGACGGGGGCCCGCACAAGCAGCGGAGCGUGUGGUUUAAUUCGAUGCAACGCGAAGAACCUUACCAAGGCUUGACAUGCUGGAAGUAGCGAACCGAAAGGAGAGCGACCUGUUGAGUCAGGAACCUGCACAGGUGCUGCAUGGCUGUCGUCAGCUCGUGCCGUGAGGUGUUGGGUUAAGUCCCGCAACGAGCGCAACCCCCGUUGCCAGUUGUUUUCUCUGGUGAGACCGCCCCGCAAAACGGGGAGGAAGGUGGGGAUGACUCAAGUCAGCAUGGCCCUUAUGCCUUGGGCUACACACACGCUACAAUGGGUGGUACAAUUGGUUGCAAUGGAGCGAUCCGGAGCUAAUCCGUAAAGCCAUCCUAAGUACGAAUUGUAGGCUGAAACUCGCCUGCAUGAAGCUGGAGUUGCUAGUAACCGCAGGUCAGCAUACUGCGGUGAAUACGUUCUCGGGCCUUGUACACACCGCCCGUCACGUCAUGAAAGUUGGCAACACCUGAAGUCGAUGGGCUAACCUUUUAGGAGGCAGUCGCCUAGGGUGGGGCUGAUGAUUGGGACGAAGUCGUAACAAGGUA
rnacentral:rRNA from 1 species